CAAAGGUUUGGUCCUGGCCUUCCUAUUAGUUAUUAACAGAAUUACACAUGCAAGCCUCCACAUCCCGGUGAAGAUGCCCUCUAAAUCUAUUAAACGAUUAAAAGGAGCGGGCAUCAGGCACACUAAAUAAGUAGCCCAUAACGCCUUGCUCAACCACACCCCCACGGGAUACAGCAGUGAUAAAAAUUAAGCCAUGAACGAAAGUUUGACUAAGCCAUGUUAAUAUUAAGAGUUGGUAAAUUUCGUGCCAGCCACCGCGGUCAUACGAUUAACCCAAAUUAAUAGGCUCACGGCGUAAAACGUGCUAAGGAUUACAAAACACUAAAGUUAAAAUUUAACCAGGCCGUAAAAAGCUACUGUUAAUAUAAAAUAUACCACGAAAGUGACUUUAUCAUCUCCAACAACACGAUAGCUGGGACCCAAACUGGGAUUAGAUACCCCACUAUGCCCAGCCCUAAACACAAACAAUUUACACAACAAAAU
rnacentral:rRNA from 1 species